GAUGAACGCUGGCUACAGGCUUAACACAUGCAAGUCGAGGGGAAACGACGGGGAAGCUUGCUUCCCCGGGCGUCGACCGGCGCACGGGUGAGUAACGCGUAUCCAACCUGCCUCUGACUGAGGGAUAACCCGUCGAAAGUCGGCCUAAUACCUCAUGGUAUCGUCUGCGGGCAUCCAACGACGAUUAAAGAUUUCAUCGGUCAGGGAUGGGGAUGCGUCUGAUUAGCUUGUUGGCGGGGUAACGGCCCACCAAGGCUACGAUCAGUAGGGGUUCUGAGAGGAAGGCCCCCCACAUUGGAACUGAGACACGGUCCAAACUCCUACGGGAGGCAGCAGUGAGGAAUAUUGGUCAAUGGGCGAGAGCCUGAACCAGCCAAGUAGCGUGCAGGAAGACGGCCCUAUGGGUUGUAAACUGCUUUUAUGCGGGGAUAAAGUGAGGGACGUGUCCCUCAUUGCAGGUACCGCAUGAAUAAGGACCGGCUAAUUCCGUG
rnacentral:rRNA from 1 species